UGAUUUUCUUUAAACUAUGGAACGUUAUUCUAGUGCAUGAGUUGGCAAUCGAAGGCGGGCCUAAUAAUCCGCUAAGGGCAUACCGAUGAAGUUCCUGGUGGUGGCUUUCGACGCCCAGUCGAGGGUUGCUGCUGGGGGUUAAGGAUGAGGGGGAUCCGCAAUGGCAUGUGGGCGUGACCCUUUUCCGUGGAGGCCUAAGUGCGUGGCUUCUAAGAGGCUACGGCUUAGGGUAGAACCUGCAUUAGGAAGGAACUUAGUGCAGUGUAGCCUGCCUUGAGGUGGGAAAGUUGGGAAAGCUUAAUAGGUCUGGACCGUGUUGGCCGAUGCUGUCUAGAUUGCUGGAAAUGCUUUUCUGCAAAAGAGGCUAGAUUGUCAAGGAGUGUUAAGGAAACUUCUAGAUCGUGUACCAACGAGGAUUGAAGUGCGGACUCAGUGGUGAUCAAGUUCUGAGUGAUGGUGACACCUCAGGCUGGGGAUAAGGAGAAAUCGCCUUGCGGGAAACCGAAGGAACUCAGUGGGAAAACCUACUUGACCUAAGCCUCAAUAUUGACUCGUUGCUUCCUAUCGUUUAAAGAAAAGCAC
rnacentral:sRNA from 1 species